rnacentral:piRNA from 1 species
UUUAUCAACCAAUUGAACUCC